UCAGUCUGCAGUCUCGAAAAGGGGGUUGCCCACCUAUAAAUGCCAACAUUUAAAUACAUCAUUGGGGUGGACAGUAAAGGGUGAAUUCAAGCACUGACACACACUGUCACAACCAGCUGUUAUCACAACGCAAACACAUAAAUAACCACAGGCAACUGCGCUUUAAAAGUACAAUAGGAUUUAUUUAACUUAAUUAACCUUAGCAAAGAUAAAAUAAUCAACAACUUCAGCUAAUAAACCACUAUCAUCUAUUCUAUGCAAAACAAAGCAUACAAAGGGCCUUUUCUGUGGUUGGACCUAAACAGCCCCUACAGUUGAGUGUUUUAAGUUUCGUCUAAAGACAGAUUUUUAUUCUUUGGCUUUUAACUCCGCGUGAGUUGUGUGGUCCUCUGAUGUCUUUUAUUGUUUUACUGUAUUUUAGUAUUUAAACCUGAUGCUCUUAUUUUGUUUUUACAAAAUUUUAUAUUAAUUGUUUUGUAUGUUUGAGUCUUCUGUGUAGCACUUUGGUAACUUUGUGUUUGUAAAAUGUGUUAUAGAAAUAAAGUGGAUUGGAUUGGAUACAUCAAUCAACAGAGGGGAGGAGGGAGGAAAAUUGCAGACAUGACUGUGUGGGUGUCUUGUCAGCCACGGAUCCAAAAUGGCAGCAAACACCAUUAGUGCACAUCGUGUCGGGUGGUCCCAUAUGAUAAUCUGUCAAAGACCUCGUAUUUGAUGCAGUUACGCUCUGACUGUCAGCAAGAGGCCCACAUAAUUGGCCAUGCGGUGUCUCGUCUACAGUAUGCAUCCAGGGUCCAGACCAAAAAAGCUAACAGAAGCUACUCAGAGAUUUUUUCCCCCAUAUUUUACUUUUGAAGCAUUAAGUUCCUCCCUGAGAUUGUUAAAGCAGAAGAAUUCUUGACUUAUUAUACAGCAGUUUUUAUAUUUCAUAGUCUCCCAGUACUGAUGGGACUAAUUUCUGUGUCUGCUAUGAUUACCCCUUGGUUGGCAUCCAUUACGGGUGCACGACUCUCAUCUCGAGCCAAGUCAUCCCUUCCUUACACACAGCCCCCCCAUUACAAGGCUGCUGAAAUCCAUUCCCUGCUCACAGUUAAAUCACAAGCUGCAGGUUUCCAAAUGCUUUGUACCCUCACGGAGGCAAGCCCCCAUUCAUCAGCUACAGCAGCACCUGGGAAUAGAAUUUUUUUUUUCUUUUUUGCUUCCUUGGUACGCAAACUGUGUGUGUGAGUAGCAGUGGGAGCUAAUGAAUUGACGGUCCAGGAUUAUUCAAAUGAAUGUGUCCCCUCGGAAACUACAGUCUUAAUGUAGAGGUCAUUAAAGUGUUCAACCAGCCUCUUCUUAUAUCUAUCAGGGUUAGAUUCAGUCAAAUUAAAGCACUGAGCUGGCACUAAAAAGCAUUUGAAAGAGUCUGUCGAAUUUAGCUAAGAGACAAGAGAAGAUUGUGGAGAUAUCGGCUUGGCGCCACCGUGGAAGUGCACUUGAGCAAGGCAGCAAACCCAAACCUAUCUUUUCUGUUAAAAGUUUUUUUAUGAACAGAAAAACGGACUAAAUGAGUGUGUUUGCUAAAUGAAUGUUAUAAGACAGCAGUCACUUUAAAUCCCUUUGAGGACUUGCUGCUUCGCGAUUGAUAUGGACUGGAAGUGAUCCUGACUUGAUGCCCUGUUGGUUUUGUUUUUAUACGCCUCUCUCUUUUCCUGGGACUAUGGGACUAAUGGAGAGUAUCCCCUGACACAAGACUAACUGCUGUAACAAUAACAUUUGAGCUGUGUUGUUUUGCCUCUGGUGACCUGUCUGUUUAGCUCUGUGCCACUAUGUUCCCCUAGAAAACCACAAAAAUAAAGUAAACAGACUAAA